rnacentral:rRNA from 1 species
AGUGAACGCUGGCGGCAGGCCUAACACAUGCAAGUCGAACGGCAGCACAGUAAGAGCUUGCCCUUACGGGUGGCGAGUGGCGGACGGGUGAGGAAUACAUCGGAAUCUACUUUUUCGUGGGGGAUAACGUAGGGAAACUUACGCUAAUACCGCAUACGACCUACGGGUGAAAGCAGGGGAUCUUCGGACCUUGCGCGAUUGAAUGAGCCGAUGUCGGAUUAGCUAGUUGGCGGGGUAAAGGCCCACCAAGGCGACGAUCCGUAGCUGAUCUGAGAGGAUGAUCAGCCACACUGGAACUGAGACACGGUCCAGACUCCUACGGGAGGCAGCAGUGGGGAAUAUUGGACAAUGGGCGCAAGCCUGAUCCAGCCAUGCCGCGUGGGUGAAGAAGGCCUUCGGGUUGUAAAGCCCUUUUGUUGGGAAAGAAAAGCAGCAGGUUAAUACCCCGCUGUUCUGACGGUACCCAAAGAAUAAGCACCGGCUAACUUCGUG